rnacentral:rRNA from 1 species
CCUACGGGUGGCAGCAGUGGGGGAUAUUGCACAAUGGGGGAAACCCUGAUGCAGCGACGCCGCGUGUGGGAAGACGGUCCUCUGGAUUGUAAACCACUGUCCCCAGGGACGAAGAUGACGGUACCUGGGGAGGAAGCUCCGGCUAACUACGUGCCAGCAGCCGCGGUAAUACGUAGGGAGCGAGCGUUGUCCGGAAUUACUGGGGGAAAAGGGAGCGUAGGCGGGACUGCAAGUUGGGUGUCAAAUCUACCGGCUCAACCGGUAGCCGCACUCAAAACUGUAGUUCUUGAGUGAAGUAGAGGCAGGUGGAAUUCCUAGUGUAGCGGUGAAAUGCGUAGAUAUUAGGAGGAACACCAGUGGCGAAGGCGGCCUGCUGGGCUUUUACUGACGCUGAGGCUCGAAAGUGUGUGGAGCAAACAGGAUUAGAUACCCGUGUAGUC